rnacentral:rRNA from 1 species
UUAAGCGACUAAGCGUACACGGUGGAUGCCCUGGCAGUCAGAGGCGAUGAAGGACGUGCUAAUCUGCGAUAAGCGUCGGUGAGGUGAUAUGAACCGUUAUAACCGGCGAUUUCCGAAUGGGGAAACCCAGUGUGUUUCGACACACUAUCAUUAACUGAAUCCAUAGGUUAAUGAGGCGAACCGGGGGAACUGAAACAUCUAAGUACCCGAGGAAAAGAAAUCAACCGAGAUUCCCCCAGUAGCGGCGAGCGAACGGGGAGGAGCCCAGAGCCUGAAUCAGUGUGUGUGUUAGUGGAAGCGUCUGGAAAGGCGCGCGAUACAGGGUGACAGCCCCGUACACAAAAAUGCACAUAUUGUGAGCUCGAUGAGUAGGGCGGGACACGUGGUAUCCUGUCUGAAUAUGGGGGGACCAUCCUCCAAGGCUAAAUACUCCUGACUGACCGAUAGUGAACCAGUACCGUGAGGGAAAGGCGAAAAGAACCCCGGCGAGGGGAGUGAAAAAGAACCUGAAACCGUGUACGUACAAGCAGUGGGAGCCUCUUAAUGGGGUGACUGCGUACCUUUUGUAUAAUGGGUCAGCGACUUAUAUUCUGUAGCAAGGUUAACCGAAUAGGGGAGCCGAAGGGAAACCGAGUCUUAACUGGGCGUUAAGUUGCAGGGUAUAGACCCGAAACCCGGUGAUCUAGCCAUGGGCAGGUUGAAGGUUGGGUAACACUAACUGGAGGACCGAACCGACUAAUGUUGAAAAAUUAGCGGAUGACUUGUGGCUGGGGGUGAAAGGCCAAUCAAACCGGGAGAUAGCUGGUUCUCCCCGAAAGCUAUUUAGGUAGCGCCUCGUGAAUUCAUCUCCGGGGGUAGAGCACUGUUUCGGCAAGGGGGUCAUCCCGACUUACCAACCCGAUGCAAACUGCGAAUACCGGAGAAUGUUAUCACGGGAGACACACGGCGGGUGCUAACGUCCGUCGUGAAGAGGGAAACAACCCAGACCGCCAGCUAAGGUCCCAAAGUCAUGGUUAAGUGGGAAACGAUGUGGGAAGGCCCAGACAGCCAGGAUGUUGGCUUAGAAGCAGCCAUCAUUUAAAGAAAGCGUAAUAGCUCACUGGUCGAGUCGGCCUGCGCGGAAGAUGUAACGGGGCUAAACCAUGCACCGAAGCUGCGGCAGCGACACUAUGUGUUGUUGGGUAGGGGAGCGUUCUGUAAGCCUGUGAAGGUGGCCUGUGAGGGUUGCUGGAGGUAUCAGAAGUGCGAAUGCUGACAUAAGUAACGAUAAAGCGGGUGAAAAGCCCGCUCGCCGGAAGACCAAGGGUUCCUGUCCAACGUUAAUCGGGGCAGGGUGAGUCGACCCCUAAGGCGAGGCCGAAAGGCGUAGUCGAUGGGAAACAGGUUAAUAUUCCUGUACUUGGUGUUACUGCGAAGGGGGGACGGAGAAGGCUAUGUUGGCCGGGCGACGGUUGUCCCGGUUUAAGCGUGUAGGCUGGUUUUCCAGGCAAAUCCGGAAAAUCAAGGCUGAGGCGUGAUGACGAGGCACUACGGUGCUGAAGCGACAAAUGCCCUGCUUCCAGGAAAAGCCUCUAAGCAUCAGGUAACAUCAAAUCGUACCCCAAACCGACACAGGUGGUCAGGUAGAGAAUACCAAGGCGCUUGAGAGAACUCGGGUGAAGGAACUAGGCAAAAUGGUGCCGUAACUUCGGGAGAAGGCACGCUGAUAUGUAGGUGAAGCGACUUGCUCGUGGAGCUGAAAUCAGUCGAAGAUACCAGCUGGCUGCAACUGUUUAUUAAAAACACAGCACUGUGCAAACACGAAAGUGGACGUAUACGGUGUGACGCCUGCCCGGUGCCGGAAGGUUAAUUGAUGGGGUUAGCGGUAACGCGAAGCUCUUGAUCGAAGCCCCGGUAAACGGCGGCCGUAACUAUAACGGUCCUAAGGUAGCGAAAUUCCUUGUCGGGUAAGUUCCGACCUGCACGAAUGGCGUAAUGAUGGCCAGGCUGUCUCCACCCGAGACUCAGUGAAAUUGAACUCGCUGUGAAGAUGCAGUGUACCCGCGGCAAGACGGAAAGACCCCGUGAACCUUUACUAUAGCUUGACACUGAACAUUGAGCCUUGAUGUGUAGGAUAGGUGGGAGGCUUUGAAGUGUGGACGCCAGUCUGCAUGGAGCCGACCUUGAAAUACCACCCUUUAAUGUUUGAUGUUCUAACGUGGGCCCCUUACCGGGGUUGCGGACAGUGUCUGGUGGGUAGUUUGACUGGGGCGGUCUCCUCCUAAAGAGUAACGGAGGAGCACGAAGGUUGGCUAAUCCUGGUCGGACAUCAGGAGGUUAGUGCAAUGGCAUAAGCCAGCUUGACUGCGAGCGUGACGGCGCGAGCAGGUGCGAAAGCAGGUCAUAGUGAUCCGGUGGUUCUGAAUGGAAGGGCCAUCGCUCAACGGAUAAAAGGUACUCCGGGGAUAACAGGCUGAUACCGCCCAAGAGUUCAUAUCGACGGCGGUGUUUGGCACCUCGAUGUCGGCUCAUCACAUCCUGGGGCUGAAGUAGGUCCCAAGGGUAUGGCUGUUCGCCAUUUAAAGUGGUACGCGAGCUGGGUUUAGAACGUCGUGAGACAGUUCGGUCCCUAUCUGCCGUGGGCGCUGGAGAACUGAGGGGGGCUGCUCCUAGUACGAGAGGACCGGAGUGGACGCAUCACUGGUGUUCGGGUUGUCAUGCCAAUGGCACUGCCCGGUAGCUAAAUGCGGAAGAGAUAAGUGCUGAAAGCAUCUAAGCACGAAACUUGCCCCGAGAUGAGUUCUCCCUGACUCCUUGAGAGUCCUGAAGGAACGUUGAAGACGACGACGUUGAUAGGCCGGGUGUGUAAGCGCAGCGAUGCGUUGAGCUAACCGGUACUAAUGAACCGUGAGGCUUAACCU